GCUCCUGUUGCCUAAUGGCUAAGGCGCUAGCUUCUGGAGUCAAAGACUGUGGAUUAAUGUACCACCAGAAGCG
rnacentral:tRNA from 1 species